UAGGACAAAGAAGGAAGAAAGUAGGGGCCAGUCGCCAGCAUUGAAGAAAAGCUAAAAGAAUCAUGUUUAUGACAAAGGACCGGGUAAUCCAAGUAACCAAUAGAUUAUCGCCACAUGUUCACCCUUAGAUUUUAUUGUGACAUGGAGAUAAGAGGUAAUCUCAAAAGCUAAUAGAUGGUCGCCACGUGUUCAACUCUAUCUACCCCCUAGGAAAGGAUAGAAAGUGGGAGAGAGAGAGGUUAAAAAAAAGA